rnacentral:rRNA from 1 species
GAUGAACGCUGGCGGCGUGCCUAAUACAUGCAAGUCGAGCGAACAGACGAGGAGCUUGCUCCUCUGACGUUAGCGGCGGACGGGUGAGUAACACGUGGAUAACCUACCUAUAAGACUGGGAUAACUUCGGGAAACCGGAGCUAAUACCGGAUAAUAUAUUGAACCGCAUGGUUCAAUAGUGAAAGACGGUUUUGCUGUCACUUAUAGAUGGAUCCGCGGCGCAUUAGCUAGUUGGUAAGGUAACGGCUUACCAAGGCAACGAUGCGUAGCCGACCUGAGAGGGUGAUCGGCUAACCUGGAAAUGAGAAAAGGUCCAGACUCCUACGGGAGGCAGCAGUAGGGAAUCUUCCGCAAUGGGCGAAAGCCUGAAGGAGCAACGCCGCGUGAGUGAUGAAGGUCUUCGGAUCGUAAAACUCUGUUAUUAGGGAAGAAAAAAUGUGUAAGUAACUAUGCGCGUCUUGACGGUACCUAAUCAGAAAGCCACGGCUAACUACGUG